rnacentral:lncRNA from 1 species
GUGUCAUUGUCCUUAUUUUUUUGGAGCUGUCUAAUCAUCGUGUCUAAGUCGUGUCGUGUUCCAUACUUCGUGUCUCUGUCUGUGUCUAUGAUGCCUAUUGCCUAUUGGUACAACUAAUAAGUUUUAUUCUAAGAAAGAGAUCUGAAAUAAAACAUUGCUGAAAGUUCAGGGUUGAAAAUGAAACAUCGUUGAAAGUUCAGAGUUCUGAAAGUCGAAUUUAAAAAUUGAAGGACUUGUAGUG